rnacentral:tRNA from 1 species
GAAAAGUUAGUUUAAAAAUGUAAAAUAUUAAUUUGUCAAAUUAAAGAUAUUAUAAUUAAUACUUUUCU